GAUAAUAUGGCUGAGAGUGUAGGCGAUAGACUGUAAAUCUAUAUACGGAUUUAACAAUCCUUUUAUCA
rnacentral:tRNA from 1 species